UCAGAGCAGGACAAGGGAACUCCUGUCAGUCAUUUUUUUAAUGUUGAGGUCGUUGCUCUUUCUGAUUAUGAAGAAGAGGAAGAGCGAUUUAAAGAUGAGGUAUACCUACCUUGCAUCCCAUAGAAGCACGUUUGGACCUUGAAUACGAUUGCCCAAUUUUUAUGUCGGCUUUGUUGUUGUGUCUCGACAAGAUUUUCAAAUGCCGCAGUGGGCGCCCUUUCUUUCGCAUAAAUCCUGUGCUUGAGUACCGUUUAGGACAAAGCUUCGGUCCUCGUAUGCAUGAGUUUCGGAAUAUCUGUGGAAAUGCCACUCAUCAUCGACUGCUAUUUCUGAUUUCUCUGGGGCUUAUCAUUGGUGGAUGCCCUUAGAGGGUGGUUCUUGGAUAGUACCGCACCUGGUGGGCUGGCAGGAGAUCGAAGGGGGCAGUUCCUGGUUCAGGAUUUUGUUUUAGUGCUCAGCGUAUUUGGAUGGUCAUUAAGGAGAAUAAGGACUUGGACUUGCCUGCACACAGGGUGAGUGUUAAUUGAAGGGCAACUGGAUAUAUUGCUGAUAAUGAGAAUGAUAAUGGAUGCAUCAUGCUAUCCGUGUUAAGGUCAUGGUUGCUCACAUACGAUGUGAAGAAAUUGCUGACGAACAAUAUUCCAGUCUUACUGAAAAUGAGGACUGGCUUUCGAUGAAGGAGGUUGGGAGCAAUUCCCGGUUUUGGAAAGAAACUGAGUUCCAUUCUUGACACGUGUUUAUUUGGGUAAGAUGAGUAAUAUUAUUAUUUGAUGAGUUACAGAUGGUGGUGCGGCAACCGGAUUUUAUGUUCAUUAAAUAAUGCAAGUACAUUAAGGCUAUCCAACACAAUCGGCUCCAUGUUCUUACUUUUAAGAAUGUUGUUUCUGAGUUUUUCCUGGCUUACGUGAAGUGGGAGCAGUAGGAGCAUUUUCUUUUCUUGGAACAAGUGCAUUUUUUUUUAAAGAGCAAACACAAAGGAAGCCUCAGCUUUUUUGAAUUUUAUAUUGUUUGAUUUUAGGUUGUACAAAUUUGCCUCUGAUAUAUCUACUAUCUAAUUGUUGAGUUCUAGCCUGAGUAGAUGAGAUAUAACUGUUGAGGUCUAGCCUGUGCAGAUGAGAUAUAGCUAUUUUGUUCAAGUAAUCAUUCCAGCUUGAAAUGGCCCCCCUUCAUUCGCAAUCUGAGUAUUAUUUCAACUGAUUGAAUGGUUGCUUUUGAGCAAUCAUCUUAUUGUUUGAUUGAUCAAUUUACUUGAUGGUAGGAGAUUAAUGGCUAGUCACAGUGUAGCAGUUGCCUAGCUGACGGCUUAGCUUAAUUUGGCCUUCUGUUUGCGAUGUUUCCUGAUUUUAUUUUUGGGUGAAGAUUAUGUUCUGUCAGGAUUAGAAAUGUAUUUAUCACUACAAGUACGUAUCAUCUAUAUAAUUUUUUGUGGCCCUUAUUAGGUACGAAUCACAGACUACGCAUUUCAAUGGGAAUGUCAGAUCUAAGAGGCGGAAGUAGCUUGAAAAAUGGUCACUUCGAGUAAGAAGUUAUGGGGGUGGUUUUCCUUGCUUAAAGUGCUUCACUUUUUUGGGUUCUAUUGUAUGACUACCACUUCAAGCUGCUUGGAACGUGGAAAUAUUUUUCCUUUCUGACACAUUUUUCUUUCAGUCAGGAUGUUUUCAUUUGAAGUAAGCUUACACAGAGAGACUGUCCGUUAAGGAUAUCUUAUCAUAUGUUGCUUAUUGUGUUUUGUUGUUUCGUCAGCUGGUACAAUAAGCUUUCCAAGCAGUCUUUGGUCAUAUUCUGUAUGGAUGUCUAGGUGAGUUCAAGGAAAGAUUUGGCAAGGCUUUGGAAGGAGGGGAAGAGUUUUUAGUGGCUGCUCAUGACUGUACUCGGUCUUAUAUGGCCCUAUUUGAUGAACGAUGCGCAGGUACGGCAACUUGUAACCUAAUGUUUGUAAAGUCAAUGCUUUGAAAAAUUUGACCACGAACGAAGGUUUGUCAUUGUGCUUUGUCCUGUAACUAAGCUCUUUCUUGGUUCUUUGACUCUUGUUGUGCUUGCAUUUGCACUCCUUUGGUGGCCUAUUAGUUGUUUUACUUGCAUCAGUCAGAAAUGAAGGUUUGUGUCUGAGACCAGAGGCAAUGUGAAAAUAUGGUCUUGUUGGUAAAUAACACUCUGGGCAUUUAGGAAACUAUUUGUAUGUGUUCAUGCCAUGCUCACUUUUGACUUGUUAUUAGGGGAAUUUUACCACCGAAUGCAUGGAUAAGUUUCGUAUCAUACUUUGAACAGAUGUUGUAAUUGAACAAGCCAAAUGGGAUACGUCUAGCGUACGGGAGAGGCUGCGGAGUCGCAUUGAUGCCCAUGUUGGUUCAGUCCGUGAUACCAAGGUCUCUGAGCUUACGAAAGCACAUAAGGUAGCAUAAUGAGCAGAGAGAUUUCUUCUACUCUCGAGCUUCUCUCUUUGCAGUUAGAGUGGCGGAUUCCUCUGUAAGUUUGUUCUGUUCUGGGAAAUGAGUAACUGGUCAGCUUUGGACCCUAUAUGCAGCUGCUACAGAAAGAUAAAUAGUUGAAAAAAGUUGUUGUCGAGUUGAUUUUAUUGUCUUAUCUACAUUUGACAUAAUUUACUUCGAAACAUCCUUCCAGAAGUUGGAUCAUAGAGCGUAUCUUGUGAUUCAGAUGAAAUUUUGCCGGAAUGAUAGUAUAUUUCCUUUUCUUUAGUAAUACGAGAGUGAUGACAUGACCUUUGGUCCUGAUGACAAUCUGUUGUCCACCUCGAUGAAACCAUCCAUGCUGGUUAUUGUAACACAUUAGUACUUCUGUUAAUUUAUUUUGAAAGAAAUGUGCAUGACGCUCUAAUUCCUUAAAGUAAAUGAUCUCUUGGGGUGCUUGAUGUUUAGGUAUGGACCCUUUGGAGAGGAGGUUUCGAGAGUGCUAGGCGGUGGUCUUGUGCCAGGUUCCUUAAUUUUGGUGGGAGGUGAUCCUGGUGUUGGCAAGAGUACCCUGUUGCUGCAGGUAAUGUACUUAGAUGAUACAU